UGCAUCUCCCAAAACUUCAAAGAGGGCAUUGUUCAUUGAUCAAGCAGACAAACCAGACAGCAAAAAAACUCGCACCGGGCAAACAGAGACAACCAAUUCUGCUAGAAUUGCCAGAGAAUUCCACAAACUGGUUGUCCCUAAGAUUGAGCCUGCCGAUAAAGAACCGAUAGCUGCACUCAAAACAAAGUCUCAAACCAAAAAAACCAAGGAUAGUACUGAAGAUGUUCGCCCACUGAAAAAAUGAAUGACUACAGUCUUCGUUAUGAAUUGCUACAAAGUUGCUCUACAGUUUUUUGCCUUUAAAACAUGUGCAGCUGAAAACUUAGUUGUGGAAACAACAACAUAACAUUUUUUUGGGUUUUUCGUAACUGCUUAAACAGGUGCCUAGGCUGCAGGGUAUGUAUUUUGUCACCUUAACUAUAGGGGCAAAAUAUGUGUGGACUGCAUCUUCCUUUUGUAACUAAUGGACAUAGGCAUGCUGCAUCUUUAUUCCUUUGAACAUUUGAGUUUCUUUUUUGUAACUACUUAAACAAGUGCCUAGAUUGCAGAGCAUGUAUUUUGUCACCAAAACUGUAGAGGCAAAAUAUGUGGACUGCAUCUUCCUUCUCUAACUUAUGGAAACAAGCACACUACAUCUUUGUUGCUUUGAACAUAUAUGCUUGAAAGAUAAGCUGCCAAAACAAAAACAACCUACUUUUUCAC